rnacentral:rRNA from 1 species
UUAAGCGACUAAGCGUACACGGUGGAUGCCCUGGCAGUCAGAGGCGAUGAAGGACGUGCUAAUCUGCGAAAAGCGUCGGUAAGGUGAUAUGAACCGUUAUAACCGGCGAUGUCCGAAUGGGGAAACCCAGUGNNNNNNNNNNNNNNNNNNNNNNNNNNNNNNNNNNNNNNNNNNNNNNNNNNNNNNNNNNNNNNNNNNNNNNNNNNNNNNNNNNNNNNNNNNNNNNNNNNNNNNNNNNNNNNNNNNNNNNNNUGUGAACUCGAAGAGUAGGGCGGGACACGUGGUAUCCUGUCUGAAUAUGGGGGGACCAUCCUCCAAGGCUAAAUACUCCUGACUGACCGAUAGUGAACCAGUACCGUGAGGGAAAGGCGAAAAGAACCCCGGCGAGGGGAGUGAAAAAGAACCUGAAACCGUGUACGUACAAGCAGUGGGAGCACCUUCGGGUGUGACUGCGUACCUUUUGUAUAAUGGGUCAGCGACUUAUAUUCUGUAGCAAGGUUAACCGUAUAGGGGAGCCGCAGGGAAACCGAGUCUUAACUGGGCGUUAAGUUGCAGGGUAUAGACCCGAAACCCGGUGAUCUAGCCAUGGGCAGGUUGAAGGUUGGGUAACACUAACUGGAGGACCGAACCGACUAAUGUUGAAAAAUUAGCGGAUGACUUGUGGCUGGGGGUGAAAGGCCAAUCAAACCGGGAGAUAGCUGGUUCUCCCCGAAAGCUAUUUAGGUAGCGCCUCGUGAACUCAUCUUCGGGGGUAGAGCACUGUUUCGGCUAGGGGGUCAUCCCGACUUACCAACCCGAUGCAAACUACGAAUACCGAAGAAUGUUAUCACGGGAGACACACGGCGGGUGCUAACGUCCGUCGUGAAGAGGGAAACAACCCAGACCGCCAGCUAAGGUCCCAAAGUCAUGGUUAAGUGGGAAACGAUGUGGGAAGGCACAGACAGCCAGGAUGUUGGCUUAGAAGCAGCCAUCAUUUAAAGAAAGCGUAAUAGCUCACUGGUCGAGUCGGCCUGCGCGGAAGAUGUAACGGGGCUAAACCAUGCACCGAAGCUGCGGCAGCGACACUAUGUGUUGUUGGGUAGGGGAGCGUUCUGUAAGCCUGCGAAGGUGUGCUGUGAGGCAUGCUGGAGGUAUCAGAAGUGCGAAUGCUGACAUAAGUAACGAUAAAGCGGGUGAAAAGCCCGCUCGCCGGAAGACCAAGGGUUCCUGUCCAACGUUAAUCGGGGCAGGGUGAGUCGACCCCUAAGGCGAGGCCGAAAGGCGUAGUCGAUGGGAAACAGGUUAAUAUUCCUGUACUUGGUGUUACUGCGAAGGGGGGACGGAGAAGGCUAUGUUAGCCGGGCGACGGUUGUCCCGGUUUAAGCAUGUAGGCUGGUUAUCCAGGCAAAUCCGGAUAAUCAAGGCUGAGGUGUGAUGACGAGGCACUACGGUGCUGAAGUAACAAAUGCCCUGCUUCCAGGAAAAGCCUCUAAGCAUCAGGUAACAUCAAAUCGUACCCCAAACCGACACAGGUGGUCAGGUAGAGAAUACCAAGGCGCUUGAGAGAACUCGGGUGAAGGAACUAGGCAAAAUGGUGCCGUAACUUCGGGAGAAGGCACGCUGGUGUGUAGGUGAAGUCCCUGCGGAUGGAGCUGAGACCAGUCGAAGAUACCAGCUGGCUGCAACUGUUUAUUAAAAACACAGCACUGUGCAAACACGAAAGUGGACGUAUACGGUGUGACGCCUGCCCGGUGCCGGAAGGUUAAUUGAUGGGGUUAUCCGUAAGGAGAAGCUCUUGAUCGAAGCCCCGGUAAACGGCGGCCGUAACUAUAACGGUCCUAAGGUAGCGAAAUUCCUUGUCGGGUAAGUUCCGACCUGCACGAAUGGCGUAAUGAUGGCCAGGCUGUCUCCACCCGAGACUCAGUGAAAUUGAACUCGCUGUGAAGAUGCAGUGUACCCGCGGCAAGACGGAAAGACCCCGUGAACCUUUACUAUAGCUUGACACUGAACAUUGAGCCUUGAUGUGUAGGAUAGGUGGGAGGCUUUGAAGCGUGGACGCCAGUCUGCGUGGAGCCAACCUUGAAAUACCACCCUUUAAUGUUUGAUGUUCUAACGUUGGCCCCUGACCGGGGUUGCGGACAGUGUCUGGUGGGUAGUUUGACUGGGGCGGUCUCCUCCCAAAGCGUAACGGAGGAGCACGAAGGUUAGCUAAUCCUGGUCGGACAUCAGGAGGUUAGUGCAAUGGCAUAAGCUAGCUUGACUGCGAGCGUGACGGCGCGAGCAGGUGCGAAAGCAGGUCAUAGUGAUCCGGUGGUUCUGAAUGGAAGGGCCAUCGCUCAACGGAUAAAAGGUACUCCGGGGAUAACAGGCUGAUACCGCCCAAGAGUUCAUAUCGACGGCGGUGUUUGGCACCUCGAUGUCGGCUCAUCACAUCCUGGGGCUGAAGUAGGUCCCAAGGGUAUGGCUGUUCGCCAUUUAAAGUGGUACGCGAGCUGGGUUUAGAACGUCGUGAGACAGUUCGGUCCCUAUCUGCCGUGGGCGCUGGAGAAUUGAGGGGGGCUGCUCCUAGUACGAGAGGACCGGAGUGGACGCAUCACUGGUGUUCGGGUUGUCAUGCCAAUGGCACUGCCCGGUAGCUAAAUGCGGAAGAGAUAAGUGCUGAAAGCAUCUAAGCACGAAACUUGCCCCGAGAUGAGUUCUCCCUGAGACUUUAAGUCUCCUGAAGGAACGUUNNNNNNNNNNNNGACGUUGAUAGGCCGGGUGUGUAAGCGCAGCGAUGCGUUGAGCUAACCGGUACUAAUGAACCGUGAGGCUUAACCUU